AGAGAGCACACCCUAGCAGCUUGACUGCACAUCUAAAAGCUCUAGAACAAAAUGAAACAAAUUCACCAAAGAGGAGUAGAUGGCAGGAAAUAAUCAAACUCAGGGCUGAAAUCAACCAAGUGGAAAUGAAGAGAACUCUACAAAGAAUCAACCAAACCAGGAGCUGGUUCUUUGAGGAAAUCAUCAAUAUAGAUAAACCCUUAGCCAGAAUCCAAGAACAUCAACAUGAUCAUCCCUCAUGAUCAAGUAGACUUCAUACCAGAGAUGCAGGGAUGGUUUAAUAUAUGGAAAUUCAUCAACAAAAUACACUAUAUAAACAAACUCAAAGACAAAAACCACAUGAUCAUCUCAUUAGAUGCUGAGAAAGCAAUUGACAAAAUCCAACAUCCAUUCAUGAUAAAAGUCUUGGAAAGAUCAAGAAUUCAAGGCCCAUACCUAAAGAUAAUAAAAGCAAUAUACAGCAAACCAGUAGCCAACAUCAAACUGAAUGGAGAGAAACUUGAAGCAAUCUCACUGAAAUCAGGGACUAGACAAUGCUGCCCACUCUCUCCCUAUCUAUUCAACAUAGUACGUGAAAUCCUAGCUAGAGCAAUUAGGCAACAAAAGGAGAUUAAGGGGAUUCAUACUGGAAAGGAGGAAGUCACUUGAUCUUUGACAAAGGAGCAAAAACCAUCCAGUGGAAAAAGGAAAGCAUUUUCAACAAAUGGUGCUACCUCAAGUGGUGGGUAGAAUGUAGAAGAAUGCAAACUUAUCCAUUCUCAUCUCCUUGUACAAAACUCAGGUGUAAGUGGAUCAAGGAACUCCACAUAACACCAGAGACACUGACACUUAUAGAAAUAAACAUGUGCAAGAGCCUCAAAGGUAUGGGCAUAGGGGAAAAAUUCCUGAACAGAUCAGCAAUGGCUUGUGCAUGAGAUCGCAAAUCAACAAAUGGGACCUCAUAAAAUUGCAAAGCUUCUGUAAGGCAAAGGACACUGUCAAUAAGACAGAAAGGCUAACAACAGAUUGAGAAAAGAUAUUUACCAAUAUUAAAUCAGAUAGGGGAAUAAUAUCCAGUAUAUGUAAAGAACUCAAGAAGGUGGACUCCAGAAAACUAAAUAACCCUAUUAAAAAAUGGGGUACAAAGCUAAACAAAGAAUUCUCAACUGAGGAAUACAGAAUAUCUGAUAAGCACCUGAAAAAGUGUUCAACAUCCUUAAUCAUCAGGGAAAUGCAAAUCAAAACAACCCUGAGAUUCCACCUCACACCGGUCAGAAUGGCUAAGAUCAAAAAUUCAGGAGAUAGCAUAUGCUUUUGAGGGUGUUGAGAAAGAGGAACACUCCUCCAUUGCUGGUGGGCUAUCAAGCAUUUACAACCACUCUGGAAAUCAGUUUGGUGGUUCCCCAUAAAAGUGGACAUAGUACUACCAGAAGAUCCAAUAAUACUACUCCUGGGCAUAUACCCAGAAGAUGUUCCAAUUUGUAAUAAGGACACAAACUCCACUAUGUUCAUAGCAGUCUUAUUUAUAGUAACCAGAGCUGGAAAGAACCUAGAUGUUCCUCAACAGUGAAAUGGAUACAGAAAAUGUGGUGCAUUUACACAACUGAGUACUACUCAGCUAUUAAAAACAGUGACUUUAUGAAAUUCUUAGGCAAAUGGAUGGAUCUGGAGGAUAUCAUCCUGAGUGAGGUAACCCAAUCACAAAAGAACACACAGGAUAUGCACUCAAUGAUAAGUGGAUAUUAGCCCAGAAUCUCAGAGUACCUAAGAUACUAUUUGCAAAACACUUAAAACUCAAGAAGAAGGAAGACCAAACUUUGUCUCUGUAAAUACUUCCGUUCAGGAGAACACAAGAUGUCUUAGUCAGGGUUUUAAUGCUAUGAACAGACAACAUGACCAAGGAAGUCUUAUAAAAAACAAACAAACAAACAAACAAACAAAAAAACAACAUUUAAUUGGGGCUAGCUUAUGGGUUAAGAGAUUCAGUCCAUUAUCAUCAAGGUGGGAGCAUGGUGGCAUCCAGGCAGUCAUGGUGCAGGCAGAGCUGAGAGUUCUAUGUCUUCAUCCAACAGCUGCUAGUGGAAGACUGCCUUCCAGGCACAUAGCUUGAGAGUAUUAUGCCCACACCCAACGUGACACACAUACUCCAAACAGGUCAUACCUAUUUUAACAAGGCCACACCUCCAAAUGGUGCCACUCUGUGGUCCAAGAAUAUACAGACCAUUACAAUAUUGCUUUAAAGGUCUUUUCCAAUGCCAAUAGUAGCUUAUACCCAACUAUUUUGAUUUAUGGUUCUUAUGGAAGUGUAAUUAAAGACCAUGUUGAUCAGCUGUGUGAGACCUAGGAAAAGUAAUGGGUUUGAACAGUGCUCUUAACCACUGAAUGAUCCCUGCGUGCCAAGUAACCCACUUUCAAUAAAAUAAAAUAAAAUAAAAUAAAAUAAAAUAAAAUAAAAUACUGAACACGAGAUAUUAGAUCUUCAAGGACCAGCUUUGAGGAAAGCUACAAAUGGUUAAUGGAGCUUGCUGAAAAGAAGCUAUGUUUGCUGCAAGUGACAGAGCUGGAGAAGUGGGAGUACCUAAAACCUUGUGGUUAAGGCAAUUUCACCAUAAUACCAAGAUGCUGAACUGGAAGUUAUAAGUUUUGUUGUUUUCACUGUUAAAUUUUGGUCUCAUUUGGUCAGUUCAUUUUUUCCUAUGUUCUGAUUAUUUCUGCUAAGGAUUGUUUCUUUUGUGACAUUGGAUUUAUGAAAGAUAACAAUCUCUCUUAAGUGUAUGGUACAGUGUGGACAGAAAAAAGUAGUUUUGGCUUUUGAAAAAACAUGUGACAGUUAAAUGAGAAUGGCUCCCAUAGACUUAUAUGUUUCAAUACUUAUUUUUUAGUUGGUGGGACUGUUUUCCAAGAAGCAUAGGUGUGGCCUUUUGGAAAGAUGUGUCAUAUGGGUGCAUAUUCAGGUUUUAAUAUCUUCUGACCAUGCUCACUUUGCUAGCUACCUCUUGUCUCAGGUUCAAAAUAUGAGCUCUCAGCUCUACUGGAUGUCAUGUGUUUACGCUGCCACUAGUGACUCUAAUGCUUUGGAACUCUAAGCCCAAAAUGAUGCCUUCAAUUAUAAUUUCUUUUUUCUGUGGUGUGUUUUAUGAUAUCAAUAGAAAUAAAUAUACAAAAGAGUGCAUGGAAAAUCAGAACACAGAAAACAAUCACUUCUAACUUCAGAAAACAGGGAGGAACACUAUUCCAACUAUCUCUAGGGCACUAUGAUCUGUUCCAUGCCGUUGAAAUUAUCAGUGAUUCCAAGAUUGGCAAUUAUAUAUUUCUCUUAAAAAGCAACCAUUUUAAGGACAUUCUCCUUUACUUAUAACCCAACCAAUACCAAAUAACGUCUCAACUCCAUCUUGUGUUGAAGAUUCAUGUAAAGAAUUGAGGUCCAAAAGCAUAGGAUUACAUACAUACUACUCCUUCUUUUUCUAAAAGUUUCUUAUUUUUUAUUGAAUAUUUUCUUUAUUUACAUUUCAAAUGUUAUCCCCUCUCUCAGUUCUCUCCUCCCAAUUCACUAUUCCCUACCUCUACCCCUGCUUCUUUGAGGGUGUUCCGCCAACCACUCACUCCUGCCUCCCUGCCCUGGCACUCACUUACACUGGGGCAUUAUACUACUCUUUAUUACACAUACAAUAAAUGUUGUAAAUUAUGGUAUAUUUAGUGAAUCAAGUUGGGAUGACAUUCUAAAUAAGGCACUCUCUCAAGAACAACAUCAACGAUAAACAUCACAGUUAUAUCUUUAAGGGCCUGUGAAGAACUAUUUUUUAUUUUCUGUUCCAAAUUAAUCCUAAAGAUAAAGUUUGAUUAAUUCUAUAUUGUUAAUAAUGGUGUUUUCUCUAAUCAUGUCCCAAGUUAAAGGCCAACUUGUCAUUUUGACUUGUUUUUCCUCUAUAAUCUUGAGAUUUACACAGUAUAAAUUGCUUCGACUGUUCAUGGUAUGUUUUUAAAACUUCAGAUUUUGAUUGUAUUACUAACUGCAAAGCAAUUCCAUUUUGUGAUAAUUAGUAUGCAUCUUACCCUUGAAUUUGACUUCAAAAAGUUUCUCUCUUUGUACUCUGGUCUGAAUAUCUCUCCUAAUUCAGAGGAGAAUGCAAGAUUGACCUGGAAAUAAAAUACAUUUUUACUUCA
rnacentral:lncRNA from 1 species